AACCUCCCAGCUUCCUUCUCCAGCAGACCUACACACUGUUCUGAGUGGUUGCAAAAGGAGGAAACGUAAUAUUGAAACUGACCUCAGUGCUUUUGGUGGCACAGGGGCUAGUUUUCUAAAAUA
ensembl:snoRNA